UACGAGUGCCCCAAGCGUUAUCCGGAAUUAUUGGGCGUAAAGGGUGUGUAGGUGGUUGUGUUAGUCUUUUGUUAAAUUCUUCGGCUUAACCGGGGGCAUGCAAAAGAAACGGCACGACUAGAGGGUGCGUGGGGUGAAUGGAACUCAUGGAGUAGGGGUGAAAUCCGUUGAUAUCAUGGGGAACACCGAUAGCGAAGGCAGUUCACUGGCGCAUUCCUGACACUGAAACACGAAAGCGUGGGUAGCGAAUGGG
rnacentral:rRNA from 1 species